rnacentral:rRNA from 1 species
UGGGGAAUAUUGGACAAUGGGCGCAAGCCUGAUCCAGCCAUGCCGCGUGAGUGAUGAAGGCCCUAGGGUUGUAAAGCUCUUUCGCACGUGACGAUAAUGACGGUAGCGUGAGAAGAAGCCCCGGCUAACUUCGUGCCAGCAGCCGCGGUAAUACGAAGGGGGCUAGCGUUGUUCGGAAUCACUGGGCGUAAAGCGCACGUAGGCGGAUACUUAAGUCAGGGGUGAAAUCCCGGGGCUCAACCUCGGAACUGCCUUUGAUACUGGGUAUCUUGAGUCCGGGAGAGGUUGGUGGAACUCCGAGUGUAGAGGUGAAAUUCGUAGAUAUUCGGAAGAACACCAGUGGCGAAGGCGGCCAACUGGCCCGGUACUGACGCUGAGGUGCGAAAGCGUGGGGAGCAAACAGG